GACGAACGCUGGCGGCGUGCCUAAUACAUGCAAGUCGAACGGUCUUUUCUAUGGAAGCUUGCUUCCACUGAGAAGAUAGUGGCGAACGGGUGAGUAACACGUGGGUAACCUGCCCAUAAGAGGGGGAUAACAUCCGGAAACGGGUGCUAAUACCGCAUAGUUUUCUUGAUCGCAUGAUCGAGAAAGGAAAGACGGCCUUUGUGCUGUCACUUAUGGAUGGACCCGCGGCGUAUUAGUUAGUUGGUGAGGUAACGGCUCACCAAGACGAUGAUACGUAGCCGCCCUGAGAGGGUGAUCGGCCACAUGGGGACUGAGACGCGGCCCAAACUCCUACGGGAGGCAGCAGUAGGGAAUCUUCCGCAAUGGACGAAAGUCUGACGGAGCAACGCCGCGUGAGUGAAGAAGGUUUUCGGAUCGUAAAACUCUGUUGUCAGAGAAGAACAAGUCGGAGAGUAACUGCUCCGGCCUUGACGGUAUCUGACCAGAAAGCCACGGCUAACUACGUGCCAGCAGCCGCCGUAAAAC
rnacentral:rRNA from 1 species